GCACAUCGCAUAAUGGCGAAUCCCCAUACAUCAUGCAAAUGAUUGCAUACAUCAGAUUCAGCAAUUAAUGAAUUUUGUAGGUAGGCUUCGAGGUACAAGCUAGACUCCCCAAGGUGGGGGUUGUAAGGUAUUCUCUGUUUUUAACAAAAAUAAAAUAACAAAAAUUCAGGCAUAUUAUUCAGCUCAGUUAACUUUGUAAAGCUCUUUACAAAUAC